GGAAGGAUGGUCCAAUGGUUAGGGUGCUAGCCUGGGGCUUGGGAUACCUGGAUUUAAUUCCCUGUUCUGCCA
rnacentral:tRNA from 1 species